UCUGUGUGCCGCUUGAGGUAA
rnacentral:siRNA from 1 species